rnacentral:lncRNA from 1 species
AUUCAUUGACUUCAGAGUAGGAGAUGAGAAGGUGGAUGAUUAAAUAACUGACUGAAGGCUGAGGAUUAAUGAGGCAUCUGCAAUAGAAAAAGAAGUAGGCAAGGGCUUCUAACAAGAGUAGAGGGCAGCACACUUGUCAAGUAUCCCAGAUAGACUCUGCGUCUGGGGGCUUUCUGGGAUUUGAAACCAGGCUUUAUAAUUCUAAAUCUUUCUACCGCCCUAUGCCGACUCACUCAUGAUACACAUUUAUAUAGGGAAGAAUGUCAGAAGAGUUGAAAUUUCCUGUGGAUGCAGUGUUCACAUUGCACAGAACACCAGGGGUCUGCCGAACAUUGAGAAAUGCUGCCCUACACUGACAUCUCAGCUAAUAAUAAACUUCACUGUUGGACAUUUUUCAUUUCCCCCCAGUGCCAUUCCCAUGAUUCUUUUCUCUACAGCCUGG